rnacentral:rRNA from 1 species
AUGGCUCAGUGAGGCCUUGGGACUGGCUCAGAGAGGUCGGCAACGACCACUCAGAGCCGGAAACUUGGUCAAACUUGGUCAUUUAGAGGAAGUAAAAGUCGUAACAAGGUUUCCGUAGGUGAACCUGCGGAAGGAUCAUUACCGAGUGAGGGUUUUCCAAAAAGCCCGACCUCCCAACCCUUUGUCUAUUGAACCUUUUUAUUUUACUGAAGACGUCGUCUCGACUUUUGUGGUCGAACGGCCGAUUCUUUAAAACUCUUUUACCUAGUUAAAAUCUUAACUAUUUAAAACUUUCAACAACGGAUCUCUUGGUUCUGGCAUCGAUGAAGAACGCAGCGAAAUGCGAUAAGUAAUGCGAAUUGCAGAAUCCGUGAGUCAUCGAAUCUUUGAACGCACAUUGCGCCCCUUGGUAUUCCGAAGGGCAUGCCUGUUCGAGCGUCAUUAUCACCCCUCAAGCCUAGCUUGGUGUUGGACGUUUAGUUUGAGUCAAGUCAAACUCGUCCCAAAGAUAAUGACGGUGGUCGUGGACGACACCAGUACACUGAGCCUUUUGGCACGUAUUGAUCGAGUCUCGAUCCCGGUCUAUUUUACUUUAUUUUUACAAGGUUGACCUCGGAUCAGGUAGGGAUACCCGCUGAACUUAAGCAUAUCAAUAAGCGGAGGAAAAGAAACCAACAGGGAUUGCCUCAGUAACGGCGAGUGAAGCGGCAACAGCUCAAAUUUGAAAUCUGUCUUCUUUGGAGACCGAGUUGUAAUUUGUAGAGGAUGUUUCGGGUACGAUCCGGGCUUAAAUUUCUUGGAACAGAAUGUCACAGAGGGUGAGAAUCCCGUCUGGAGCUUGUGAUACGGCCUAUGUGAAACUCCUUCGACGAGUCGAGUUGUUUGGGAAUGCAGCUCUAAAUGGGUGGUAAAUUUCAUCUAAAGCUAAAUAUUGGCCAGAGACCGAUAGCGCACAAGUAGAGUGAUCGAAAGAUGAAAAGCACUUUGAAAAGAGAGUUAAACAGUAUGUGAAAUUGUUGAAAGGGAAGCGCUGGCAACCAGACUUGAGUGCGGUUUUCCCCCUCGCUUUUGCGUGGGUUACUUUUCCGUAUCCAGGCCAACAUCGGUUUUGGGGGUGGGUUAAAGGCUCCAGGAAUGUAUCUACCCUCCGGGGUAGACUUAUAGCCUAGAGUGGCAUGCCACCUCCCGGGACCGAGGAACGCGCUUUUGCUCGGAUGUUGGCGUAAUGGUUGUCAGCGGCCCGUCUUGAAACACGGACCAAGGAGUCUAACAUCUACGCGAGUGUUUGGGUGUCAAACCCGCACGCGAAAUGAAAGUGAACGGAGGUAGGAAGCCGCAAGGCUGCACUAUCGACCGAUCCUGAUGUCUUCGGAUGGAUUUGAGUAAGAGCGUAGCUGUUGGGACCCGAAAGAUGGUGAACUAUGCCUGAAUAGGGUGAAGCCAGAGGAAACUCUGGUGGAGGCUCGCAGCGGUUCUGACGUGCAAAUCGAUCGUCAAAUUUGGGUAUAGGGGCGAAAGACUAAUCGAACCAU